AUUGAACGCUGGCGGCAUGCCUUACACAUGCAAGUCGAACGGUAACGCGGGGCAACCUGGCGACGAGUGGCGAGCGGGUGAGUAACGCAUCGGAACGUGCCCAGUAGUGGGGGAUAGCCCGGCGAAAGCCGGAUUAAUACCGCAUACGACCUACGGGUGAAAGGGGGGGAUCGCAAGACCUCUCGAUAUUGGAGCGGCCGAUGGCAGAUGUGGUAGUUGGUGGGGUAAAGGCCCACCAAGCCAUCGAUCUGUAGCUGGUCUGAGAGGACGACCAGCCACACUGGGACUGAGACACGGCCCAGACUCCUACGGGAGGCAGCAGUGGGGAAUUUUGGACAAUGGGCGCAAGCCUGAUCCAGCCAUGCCGCGUGCGGGAAGAAGGCCUUCGGGUUGUAAACCGCUUUUGUCAGGGAAGAAACGCUCUGGGCUAAUACCCCGGGGUAAUGACGGUACCUGAAGAAUAAGCACCGGCUAACUACGUGCCAGCAGCCGCGGUAA
rnacentral:rRNA from 1 species